rnacentral:lncRNA from 1 species
AUGGUUCCGUGCACAAAACUGAUUUACCCGCACCUUUCUAGGGCACACCUCCUACAGCACAAGAAACACUGCAAUAAAGCCCACAAGGCCCAAUCACUGACAGCAGCUGAGAGGCCCAUCUGGGAAAUAACUCCGGAACCCCUUCAGACAAACUUGCCGUGGUGGGGUGACCUGGCCAUCACUGAUUCCCUGCCAGCUUGUUUGCAGCCAGGAUUUUUCACAGAUGCUCCCUGGCAGCUGCGGAAGAACCAGCAAUCCCGAAAGCAACUUAAAGGGCACAAGAGGAUUAAAUAAUGCAUGAAGGAUUUCCUGGUCUGUCAGACAAAUUCUGGAACAUGUAGGACAUGUCUCAGAGUCUCUGGAAUGACAAGCCCAAUGAGCAAUAUCACUGACAUUCUGAGUUUAAUUUUUUAAGGGAAAAUUUAUUUUAGCCUUUGAAGACUUUUGGACUUCCCUGAUAGCUCAGGCUGGUAAAGAAUCACCUGCAGUGCGGGAGACCUGGGUUUGAUCCCUGGGUUGGGAAGAUCCCCUGGAUAAGGGAACAGCUACCUACUCUAGUAGUCUGGCCUGGAGAAUUCCAUGGACUGUAUAGUCCAUCAGGUUGCAAAGAGUCAGACACAACUGAGCGACUUUCACUUCACUUUCUUUUGAAGAUUUUUAUUUUCAUUUUGCUCUAUUUUAUAGUCCAGAAUUGCACUGUCCAAAAUGGAAGCCAUUCAAUCGAGGGCUGUUGAACAUUUGAAGUGUGGAUAGUCUGAGUUGAGAUGCUGUAUAUAUAAAAAAUAGCCCAGAUCUUGAUGAUGUCUCACAAAGAAAAAGUGUAAAAUAACUUAUCAGUAAUUUUUAUAUCAAUUACAUAUUGACAUGAUGAUAAUUUGGGCUAUAUAAGAUUAAAGAAAAUAUAUUAUUCCAGUUAAUUUCACCUGAUUCUUUUAGCUUUUUAAUGAAGUGUCUGUAAAAUUUCAAAUUAUGUAUCUGGCUCACCUGAGCGGUGUGUGUUACAUUUCUUAGGUACAGCAAUGUUCUGGAGACCAUGUCCUUCUCAAGAGUGUGAAUAGUUUGGGAUUUUACUCCACUUGCAAGAUAAGACGUCCCCCAGCUAGAGUUUAACGCAUGCUAGUAGAAGACAUGAGACCUGUGGCUCGGAGACAAAGGGUAGUUUCUUUCUCACAGCCCCAGCAGCAGCCGGAGUAUCAGCAUCUUUGCACCAGUUUACCAAGCCCCAGCAACACAGCGUGAAAUAGACAGCGCCAGAUGAGACCUGCACACAUAGUGUUUUCCGUUUGAGGAGAGGAACUCACAACUUGGAAAGCUCAGAUCUUUGAUACAAAUCGCAAGCAAACCUACAAUUUACUCUGAAGGAAGACACUAUAUCUUCCAGGUGAUUAAUGAUAUAAACAUAUUUUAAAAAGAUACUCCAGAAUAAAGGACAGUUAGUGCCUUGCUUGCAAAACAUGCAGAAAUGUGAGACACCCAUGGAGAAUUGCCUACUGACGUUCUCAUUUCCUCCAUCUUCUUUUCUUAGACUAUACAUUUCUCUUUGGGGGUGUUAUGUUUCUACAGACUAAUUUAAUAUAUAUUGCUAAAAAGCCAACGUUAGUCCCUAACUCACUGUAAUUUUCCAAAGGGUUGAUCAUUUCCUUAUUGAAUUGUACACUAUAAUAGAUUUUUAAGCCUCACUUCCCUUCUCUGAAAAGAACCCGUUUUCCUGAAAUCAUGACAUUCAAAAUUUACUUACAUGGGCAGUAUUUUAGAAAAGUAAUGCAGAAGUCAGAAAACUCAACUAAAAUAGGCCAAUUUUUUGGACACACACAUUUAAGAAACACUUGGAAGCACUGGCACUUUUAAAGAACAUUUGUUUAACUAAAUAGCGAUUGAAAGUCUCCUCAAAGCCUGGACUCUGGAAUCUCAGUUCCCAUGACAGCACAGGUCCCAGCAGGCUCUGCCUCGCACCCUGGAAGGCUGCACCUUCAAAGCAUUUCAGCAACAUCAAGUCAUGGGUUUUCACAGUGCAGAGGCGAGCCUGAUCAUUAAGUACUAUUAUCCAGAUUUGACUGGCUUAAUUCACUUGCCUCAGGCCCCAGAGUCAAAGUCAGAAGCCAGAGAUGGGUCCAGAAUAUUUAAUUUCCUUGCUGUAUUAACAUCCCUGGAUUAGGUCUAUUUUUGCAUAUAAAAUCACUCCUGGGCUUCCCUGGUGGCUGAGUGGUAAAGAAUCCACCUGCCAAUGUAGUAGACACGGGCUCUAAUCCCUGGUCCGGGGAGGUCCCACAUGCUGUGGGGCAGCCAAGCCCGUGCACCGCAACUGACCUGAGCUCUGGAGCCUGGGAGCCGCAGCUACGGAGCCCCUGUGCCGCCAGUGCUGAAGCGCACACGCUCUAGAGCCGGUGCUUUGCAACAAGGCGUCAACCGCAGUAAGAAGCCCGUGCGCUACAACGAUGAGUAGCCCCUCCUCAGCACAACUAGAGAAAAGUCCAUGCAACAGCAAAGGCCCUGCACAGCCAAAAAUAAACAAACAAAUUUAUUUAAGAAAGAUCACUCCACCCUGUUCUUUUAAAUACAGACAGUAACUGCUUAUUGUGGAUUACUAUAUGCUUUUAUUCUGUGGCUUAAAGACUAUUUUGUUUUAGUUCUUCUUAAACUAUCACUUUUUCACUUUUAAUUUUUCCUUCAUUUGAGUAGGUAAUAGAUACACACAGGAAAGCAAAAAUACAGGGAGUGGGGAGGCAGUGAGAAGCAUUCUGCAUUCCUCCUCUGUCACCCAGACUCUCAGGAAGUAAAUCUCCUUAUUGAUUUCCUGUGAAUACCUCCAGAGAUAGACCAUGCAUUUACAAACAUGCCUCUCAUAUUAUGUAAUAGAUAGGCCUGCUAUACAUGUCUUUCCUGCAUCUUGUUUUUCUCAGUUAUUAGUCUUGGCAACCAUUUCAUAUCAGUAUCUUCACUGCCUCAUUCUUUUACCUGGACCUUAUUAUAUUAAGUCAGUUUCCUACUAGGGGCAUGUAGACUGUUUCUAGUCUUUGAUAUUCUAAGCAGCACUUAUACUUAUUUAGCCAACAAUUAACCCAGUGCUUGCUUUAUUCCAGGCUCUGCAGUGAAUAUCCUUAUACUUAUGCAACUCCUGGCAUGUCCAAGUGGGUGAGAGUACACAGUGGUUUUGCUGUUUUUCAGUUGUCCUUGGUAAAUUGUGAAGAAAGCUGAGUGCCGAAGAAUCGAUGCUUUUGAACUGUGGUGUUGGAGAAGAUUCUUGACAGUCCCUUGGACUGCAAGAUCAAACCAGUCCAUUCUAAAGGAGAUCAGUCCUGGGUGUUCUUUGGAAGGAAUGAUGCUAAAGCUGAAACUCCAGUACUUUGGCCACCUCAUGUAAAGAGUUGACUCAUUGGAAAAGACUCUGAUGCUGGGAGGGAUUGGGGGCAGGAGGAGAAGGGGACGACAGAGGAUGAGAUGGCUGGAUGGCAUCACCGACUUGAUGGACGUGAGUUUGAGUGAACUCUGGGAGUUGGUGAUGGACAGGGAGGCCUGGUGUACUGCAAUUCAUGGGGUUGCAAAGAGUCGGACAUGACUGAGAGACUGAUCCGAACUGAAAUUGCUUAACCUUUCUGACCCUUGGUUUCUUCAUUUACAAUAUGAGGAUAAUAAUAGUACCUACCUCAUCGGCUCAUUAAGAGGAUUAAAUGUAUUAAAUAUAUUAUAUAAAAUAUAUGUGUUUAUAUAUAAUAUAUGUAAAGCAUGCUAUCUAAUAUAAAAUAAGUAUAUCAUUAUUCAUUCAUCAUUAUAUUUGCUAUAGCUAUAAUUUGCAUUAGAUUUGUUUGUAUAUCUCCC